CAGGCUUUGACAAUCAGACAGUCAGGCUCCAGUGGGCACCACUCAUGCUGUGACAGCCCACAUUGUCCCCUCAGUGACAAACAGCCAGCGCUGCUCACAGAGAGGGAGAGGGAAAGAAAGGGGGAGAGAGAUAGACAGGGAGAGAGGAAUGGAGAGAGAAAGCAAUAGAGAGAGAAAGAGAGCGAGAGAGAAGGAGCUGGGGAUGGACUGUCCCUGAAGAAACAAAGUCCCCUCAGGCUUUCUGAAUCCCCUCCAAUUCCCCCUUAUCUGUACGGCUGGCUACUGUGUGGACUGACUGGCCAUCUAUGUCCUUCUUAACAA
rnacentral:lncRNA from 1 species